rnacentral:lncRNA from 1 species
GGGACUUCUAAUACCCCAACACUACAAAGCUUUAGAUUUUCAGUAUUCGUAAGGAAAGGUGUGAUACCUUUCCUCACUCAUCACCAGGGUCACAGCCAACAGCCCUAUAACAAAAGACAGGUUAACAAGAGAAAAGAACGACAAAUUUAUUUAAUCAAAGUUUAACACGACAUAGGCGCCUUCAGAAAUGAAGACCUCAAGCCCCAAGGAAAACUGUCUAUUUUUAUGCUUCACUUCGAUGAAGAAUGGACAGGAAGGUUUUCUUCUUGGGGAAGUAAAAGGUGAAGCCAAGAACAGCAUUACUGAUUCCCAAAUGGAUGAUGUUGAAGUUGUUUAUACAAUUGACAUUCAGAAAUAUAUUCCAUGCUAUCAGCUUUUUAGCUUUUAUAAUUCUUCAGGCGAAGUAAAUGAGCAAGCACUGAAGAAAAUAUUAUCAAAUGUCAAAAAGAAUGUGGUAGGUUGGUACAAAUUCCGUCGUCAUUCAGAUCAGAUCAUGACGUUUAGAGAGAGGCUGCUUCACAAAAACUUGCAGGAGCAUUUUUCAAACCAAGACCUUGUUUUUCUGCUAUUAACACCAAGUAUAAUAACAGAAAGCUGCUCUACUCAUCGACUGGAACAUUCCUUAUAUAAACCUCAAAAAGGACUUUUUCACAGGGUACCUUUAGUGGUUGCCAAUCUGGGCAUGUCUGAACAACUGGGUUAUAAAACUGUAUCAGGUUCCUGUAUGUCCACUGGUUUUAGCCGAGCAGUACAAACACACAGGUAAGAUU